AACGCACAUUGCGCCCCCUGGUAUUCCGGGGGGCAUGCCUGUCCGAGCGUCAUUGCUGCCCUCAAGCCCGGCUUGUGUGUUGGGUCGCCGUCCCCCUCUCCGGGGGGACGGGCCCGAAAGGCAGCGGCGGCACCGCGUCCGAUCCUCGAGCGUAUGGGGCUUUGUCACAUGCUCUGUAGGAUUGGCCGGCGCCUGCCGACGUUUUCCAAUCAUUCUUUCCAGGUUGACCUCGGAUCAGGUAGGAAUACCCGCUGAACUCAA
rnacentral:misc_RNA from 1 species